GUCUACGGCCAUGCCACCCUGAACAAGCCCGAUCCCGUCUGAUCUCAGAAGCAAAGCAGGGCUGUGCCUGUCUACGGCCAUGCCACAGACCACCUAGGAAGACCAGGUGCUGUAGGCG
rnacentral:rRNA from 1 species